UUUACGAUUUGAAUUUCAAAUUUCCUUCUCAAUAAUUAAUUAUUUUUCAUUUCUUUUUUGGGUUUGAAUUUUUUCUCCUCCUUUUUUAUCGAGAUCACGUGGAUUAGAGGGAACUGAUCUCUUUUUCUCCUAUGUAUUCUGACGAAGGCGACAAAUGAGAUUUGACUGUUGUGGACUUUCCGAGAUGACGAGGAGCGGGAGGCGAGCAGGGAAAGAGCACUGUUUUGGUGGUUAGAUGUGGGGGGAGAUCUGGGUUCAAUCGAUUACUAAGGUUUGAUAAAUCGGGGAAGAUCUGGGUUCAAUCGAUUCAGAUGUGGGGUUGGUUUUCGUAGAUUGGGGAGAUUUAGAUGUAGGGUUCAAUCGAGGUGUGUAUUACUGUCGAGAAGCUUGAAAAGCUCUCUGGUGUCAAGGUCUUUGAUUGUUGGUUUGAGAGUGGGUCAAUGCCUUAUGCGUACAUCCAUUAUCCUUUUGAAAACAAGGAGCUUUUUGUGCAGAACUUUCCUGGUCAUUUUGUGGCUGGUUUUAUCAUCUUAUGCUGCUGUCGACUGCACUAUUUGGAAAGCCAGCAUAUCGAAAUCUGAUUUGCAAUGGUCUUGUGCUUGCUGAGGAUGGAAAAAAGAUGACCAAACGCUUGAAGAAUUAUCCGCCUCCUAUGGAAGUCAUAGAUGAGAUGCUUUGCGAUUGUACCUCAUAAACUCUCCGAUCGUACGCGCUGAGCCACUACGGUUCAGAAAGGAAGGAGUACUUGGUGUUGUCAAAGAUGUAUUUCUUGCAUGGUACAAUGGGUAUGCUUCCUUGUUCAGAAUGCAAAGAGGCUUGAGAUUGAGGGUUCUGGACCAUUUGUUCCUACUGAUUUAGCAACUUUAGGGUCAUCAAACGUUCUCGAUCAACGGACGGGAUUUGACGGCGAGGCGGAGGCGACUAGGAAUUUAUGAGUUGGUUACAUACAAUUAUAUGUUUCAGUCUAUGUACGGCGAAAACGUAAUCCACGUGUACAAAUUUUUCAAAGUCUACAUGUACACCGGAUCGUAAAGCUUCACUAUAGUAUCCAUAUGUACACCUUCUUUUAAGAGCUACAUGUACCCCUGGUAGCAAGAUCAUGUGUACACCACAAUUACUUUUAGUUUUGGUCAAGAAAUAUGAAACAAUUUGAAAGAAGAUUUGUUUAUUAUUGGAGAAUAAAUCUCAGUUAAUGUUUUUGAUG